rnacentral:lncRNA from 1 species
GUAAAAAUUAUAAAGUACGUCAAGUUAAUAAUGAGGUACUUGACACAACUGUAAGCGGUGGGGUGCCACGCUUCAUGACAGUUUUGAGGAGGUCGGGUGAGAUCGUGCCAUAGAGCCAUUGAAGCACAAUAGCGUCUAGGCGUUCCCAAGAAUCUGCCACGGGUUGGUCAGUUUUGUCGGCUGUCUGUUUGUCAGCCGAGGAGGACUGUUCAGCAGGUUU